rnacentral:lncRNA from 1 species
GUGUGUGUGUGUGUGUGUGCGCGUGCGCACGCGCGCAUGUGUCUGCGAGUGCGCAUGCGUGCUGUCUUCGGCUCCAUAGUCGGCUGCAAAUCUUCCUGACAAUCUGCUGGGCGUCAGGGAUUUUUAUCUCUUGAUGGGUGCCCCGUUUUUCUUCCUGAUAAUGUCUCUUCGUCCAUAGUCGGCUGCAAAUCUUCCUGACAAUCUGCUGGGCGUCAGGGAUUUUUAUCUCUUGAUGGGUGCCCCGUUUUUCUUCCUGAUAACCUCUUGCUAAUGAAGCACCGGGCAUGGGAGCUCCGUGUACACACGUGCUCGCGGCCACGCUGGACCUCACCGAGUCGCGGUCUCUGACGCCAUCUGGGAUGUCCUGCCAUCGCGCCUGGCCUCCUCCCGGCUUAACUUUCCCUCUUACCCAUCAACGCCGGCUGAUGCAACACAUUGUGCUCGAGGUCACCGGCUGACCCUGUCGCAAGAGCGGACGAUCUCCUGUUUCAUGCUCACUCUAGCCCCAGUGCCAGGCAUGCAGCAGGUGUCCAGUGCAUCGAUGUGUUUCUUCUUCUAGUGAACCGGCGUCCCCUGUGGCUCCUCCACGCCAGGCCACAAGCUAGGACACGAGGCUAAGGAGCAUCCUGGCUUCAUUCUUCAGGAAAAUGCUGAGACACACUUGUGAGCCCAGCGGUGUGGCCUGGUGUGGAGGGCGUGCUACCAGACUGAUGGCGGUAAAGAAGGAGAAGAGAGGCAGCAGGGAGCAGAGGCUGGGAGCCAGAGGGUAAGCGUCACUUUGCAACAGGAGGGAACAGCAGGGCGGGCAUAGAGGUGCUGGAGAGCACUGCGUACUCUUGAGGGAACUUAGCACACAUCCCUUCACGCUCGCCACUUUCCGAAGCAGUUCUGUGAGUCCUCUUUCGUGAGUGUCUUUAGAUGUUUCAUCGUAGGGGGCUCGGUGUGCUGAAUGGAUUCAAAACAUUUACCUUUCCCAACUUUAGGGAAGGCCGGAAGUCACAGAGUGCCAGAUCUGGGGAAUAAGGUGGAGGAGGGUUUGUGCUGUCAUGCGUUUAUUCAACAGAAAAUUUGUAAAUGUAAACUGCUUCAGAAAGUGGCAAGGAAGUUGGGAUAAGUAUGCUUCAAAUCGGGGUGUAUUUUGAGGGAGAUUAAUGGUAAUGAGUCUCAACCUCACAGUGAUCCUCCUGCCUCAGCCUCCCGAGUGCUGGGAUUACAGGCGUGAGACACCACACCCGGCAACAUUUUUAUUCUGGAUCUUAGCCAAGACUGAGAAGCAA